GCCCCUCCAGCUGGGCCCCCCACGCUGGGCCCCCCACGCCCUUUCCCUCCUCAGUUCUUGGUCUUCCGCACUCGGAGUCUGCUGGGGCAGAGGGAAUGUCCCCCUUGGCCCCCAGGUGCCAGAUUUGUGGGGACUCUGCAGAAACGAACCUGGGGCUCUGCACCCCCUCCCAACCCUGGCAGCAAAGUCGCCUCUGACUGUCAUAAACCAGCAGCUCCCUGGGAUUCCAGAUGUGAGCCGUUGGAUCGGAAUUUACGACGCCUGGAGCUGAAGGCCACUUCCGUCCUCCCACGGGGCAGAGGGCGGGGAAGUGCCCCACAGACAAAGAACCGGAUGGACAAAGGUUUCCCCCGUUACAGGGGACCGGGUGGGCGCCCUGUGCACAAUGUGCUCUCCCCAGCGCAUGUUCUGAUCCCAACAGCUCCGUCCCUGCUAACGGGAAGCCCCUCCAGGCCCUCAGACUGGAACAUAAAUAACCGCGCAUCCUGCACGAGGUGACGCGAUCUUAAGUGGAGACACUUGCGGAGUCAGGUGUGUGUAUUGUCUGCCUCCUCCAAGUGCAGGCGUUUCAGAGAGACGGACAAACUCAAGCCGCUCUGAGGAUUUGCUGAGUAUCUUAAAUGAUUACAGUUUUCAUAGUAUAGAUUGAUAAAGCUCCACCUGGUUUUGGCCGAGUCCACUUCCCGGUACCUUAGACAUGCACAUCAUGGAGAGAAAAAAGCAGCACAGAUGUUCUGAUUCAUUCACAUUUUGGAGAAACAUAUCCAAUAUUCAGAGAUUCAGCCUCCUCCUAGGCCCCCGCCCUGCAGGGCUGAGGAGGAGGCGCAGGGAUCUGGGAGGCAACAGCUCAGGUGCCCACGGGCCAAGCGGAGGGCUCUGCUCGGAGCUGUGUGAGGGGGAAGGGGCUCUUCCCGGGCUGAUAUUUCAUGGUUUGUAAAGUGUCCGACUCCCGGCCUCUCAGUCUGCAGAACGGGUGGCCCCAGGCGCACACGAGGCAGGCUCCUCCCACCUCUCUGCGCACCUGCACCACGGGGCCCAGUGCUGCUCUGCCCUCGUCAGCGUUCAGGUCCCCAGGACCCCGCACCCGCUCUGCUCUGCCCCAAAGCCGACCUUCUCCUCUAAGCCUCCCUUGAGCGUGAGUGGGGUCUGUCUGCCCAGGAUCUGCACAGACAGACAAAACCGAGCCGUGCGUUCUCGCCAGCUUCACGUUAAGAUCUGUCCCUGCUGCUCUGAGAACGGCCGCUUGUCUUUCUUCCUCUCGUCCACUUUCUCAGUGCCUCCCUGCCAUCGGUUUAGAGAUUCUAUGUCAGGAUUAAAGAGGAGACAGAGGGUGACAGACAGUCAGACAACCGGAGACCAGAAAUCUCAGCCACAUCACCAACAGCCGAAGGCCCCAGUCUGGAGACAACUGGCGAGAAGUCGUUGUUUUCUAGAAUGAGGUUCAGACAACGUCCUGUGACAGGGGACCCCGUCCGGGACCAUCAGGCCUCAGCAUUUCAGUUCCCCACCUCCUAGAGACGCGGAAAACAGCCAGGAUAGGAGGCCACGUGCAGCGGCAAACUCAUACCUCACUCGUUUUCUCUAAGGAAAGCUGGCGAAGUUUGGGUGAGGACGAAGCCAGAAAAUCAGAAGCUGCUGCUCACGCUCUGGGAAUGGGUGCCCCUCGGAUGUCAGCUCCUGCUGGGCUUCUGGGAGGGAGCACGAUCCCUGCUGGAUGGUAAAUCACCAAAAACGCGUCAACCCACCCGUACAGGAAGGUUCCCAGCCAGGGGGAGAAGAGAGCUUCCUCGUUUCCAGGAGUGAAGCCAACGUCCUCUCUUCAUAAGCAAGAACCACAGAUGAACAGAGAAAAUACAUUUUCAGUAGCCAGCCGUCAUUGAGACCUUUCUAGGUACAAAACCGUCUUCCGAUCAGUUCACGCACAUUAAUACGCUGAGUCGUCUCCUCAGCCCGGGGAGGGAAGCCCCUCAGGACCCAUUGACAGAUGUGGAAACAGAGGCGCCAGAAGAGGAACAGCACCUGAGGGCGCCGGCUGGCGCGUGCAGGGCUGAGCUUCACGGGCGGCAGCUUCAGAGGGGUGGGUCCCUACGUGGGGCACGUCAGGGUGCAGGCCAGGACCUACCCCUCCUGGAGGGCGGAAAGAGGAGCCUGUGAGUCAGUGAGCCAACAGCCACGGCCUGCUGGUGACAGGCAGACCCAGAGGACAAAGGUAUCCGGGGGCUUCUCCCUUCCUGAAGCGCCAAAACUCAGAAACCAUCAACAGCAGUCUCCUCUGGGUGCGACAUGAAGAAAGAAAAUUAAUGCAGCUGCUCAGACUCAAGGACUCGCGCUCCUCCCAGCGCCCCUCACCUCUGAAUCACCACCUCUGGCUGAGGACAGGGGCUCCUGGGCUCAAUAUCGUGAGGCUCUCGGCUGAACGGAGUGAUCUGGAUCAUACUCCUUUGCCUAAAACUAAAUGCACGAUGCGACCCGUCCCUUUUCAAAUAAAGUAGGACGAACCACACACCCCGUCAGUGCGGACGGUGGUGUAACGAGGGCGAAGGCCCCAGCACCAGGGUCUUGGGCAGGAACUCUCCCUGGACACACCGUGCUCUGCACACGCCCGCUUUCUCCCCUGGGAUGCCCUCUCCUGUCUUGAUGUGGACUUUCACUGGUUAUUCUUCUCUCUGAUAAUUAAAUUAUUUUCAUAGUGUUUUAAUUACAUUCAUA
ensembl:lncRNA